AGUCGAUCGUUUUGAGGUUGCUAGGUGCUCCAAGUGAUUGCGAACACAAACCUAGAAAUUGGUAAACAUAGCAUAUUUGGCAGCUCCAAGCAAGAUUACAAUCAGGCAAAUUCAAGUGGAAUGACAUACCAACAACUGAAAUUGGUAAUUAGUCAACAACUUAUCCCAUAUCUUUCUUAUCUGAAAAAAUCUACUGUGUUUCUGAUCUAUUUUUCAUCUACGCAACUUUAGCCUCUGUCAUGAAUAGCUCUCUCCCAAGAAUUGCAUUGACUAUGGUUUCUGGGAAGAAAAAGAUCUUGCUCCUGAAAAAAGACCGUGACAACCCUGUUGUAAAAUUUUAGUUUGUGCAGAACAAAAAACCUUGAUUUAUUUUCUAUUUAGUAUAGUGAUAGUUGUUGACAAUCAUUAGUUAUUUGCCAAUAUGUUUUUUAUGCGACAUUUCAGAACUCUCCAUUCCAAGCGGAACAGCAGAUGGAAGCUAAUUUUUCUGGAAGCUCCUCGACUUCAAGACAGAAUCAGAAGAUAGAUGUUGGUGGGAGAAGUUAAUCAAGGGAAUACUUCAGAGAAGUGAGACAGCCUAGCCAAACUUCAUCUUUUGUACAGCCUGAGCAAAGAGUGGAACCCACAAAACACGAGAGAAGAAAAAACAAAACACGAAAUUAACAUAUUCAGAUCUUCUCUCUUGCAUGUCUAACAUCUGGCGCCGACGAAACUCAACACCCACGGCAGACGAAGCUGAUGCAAGUAAAGCUCUCAUCAAUCAUGCUUAAAAUCAAUCUACGCUUUUCAAUCUCACAAACUAAGAAACAAUUUUACCUACAUGAAUCGGGAAAUUAGUGCCCACAUUCCCGACAUAGAGAAAAAAAUGAGUUGAAGUCCUAACAGUUUUUUCAGUAUUAGACUAAACCAAAGAUUCAAGGCCUAGUUAUUUUGAAACCCUAACAUUUUAAAUCCAAAUUUAUUAUAUUUUUCCAUGCAUUAUUUGAUUUAUAUACAAACAACUACCUAAGUAAACACUAACAAGUUCCAUCACCCUCAACUUUGAACAUAUAAGAUAUAAAAAUAUCAACAUAUGACUUCCUCGUUCAUUCUUAUAUCAAACUCAUCAACCUAUGUAAUAUCCAAAGUCCCAUCAAUCACAUUAUAGACAAAAAACAAUAAAAUCCUGUAAACAAAACUAUACAAUACACCUAUAAUGUAGUCGACCCCGCGCUUGCGCGGGGACUAUACACCUAGUACAUAUAAUAUCUUAUUUGCGCGUAGCGUGGUUAAAAAAUCUAGUAUAUUAUAACAAUAUUUUGUCAUAAAUUAUUUCAGGUUAGUAAAAAUGGUCUUAUUUUUUUUUAAACAGGAUCUCUUUAGAGUUUGAGACAGCCCUUUGUGAUUUGCUUUUUUUUUAAACGGCUAUGCACUGUUUCGUCUUCGGGUAACGAGGCCCAUCAACGACAUCAUCUAAGUGGACUAGUUAUGUUUUUGGUUGAUUCGGGUUGUCUCCACUUUCCUUUAUUGAUGAUGGGUUAGGGAUCAUCUUCUUUUUAUUGUCGGUUUGUGCCUGGUUGCAGCGGUAGUUUUCGGUGGUCGUUGCUUCUGCUGGUUUUAGAUAUGGUUGUCAGAUUAGUUUCGGCUGCUCUUUGGAAUGAUGGGUCUCUCUCUGCGUUAGCCGGUUGAGGGUUUGGAGGUUGCGAGUUCUGAGAUAUCUCUAUUUUCCUAAGGGUGAGUCUUUAAUUUGUUCUCUCUCAGAGAUGUUCGAGUUUGUGUUGAUUAGUGUUGUAGCUUCGCCGGAUUAAGAAAGAGCAUCUUGCCUUCGUUGGUGGUAUGCUUUUGUGACAUCUGCUGAGUGAGAUGCUUCGUUGUCGAAACCUUCUGCUCCAUUGGACUUCAGCAUUCUAAUCUUAUGUUUUGUUUAAAAGAUGAUGUUUCUCUAACUAGCUGCUUUGUUCUGUAAUUUAAUCAUUUUGUUUACCUUGUUUUCCAUAUGUGGACUUAGACUCGGGGGAUAUUUAUGUUUCUAUAUGCUUAAUGUCUGUAUUUUUUCUUGUUCAUCUUGGUUUGCUAA